UCUUCACUUUGGCGGUACUCCGCGUAAACCGUGCUUUUGGAUUUUCUUUUACUUCUCCUCGCUUUCCUCUGUCUGUUUGAAAAAGAAAAGAAGGCAGCAGAUUGAAAGCGAAGAAACCUCCGUUUACUCCCUCUUCUCUUGCAUUUCUCUUUCCCUUUUCACGCUUCUACUCUUUACUCUGCUCUACUUUACUCUUAUCUCACAAUCCUCUCUCUUUUUUAUCACCCAAACCCUAAUUUUACGAGGUGAAGAUUGCUCCACACUUGCCCAGAUCGUCUUCAAACUGAUUUUGGACGUUUUCUGAUUUCAAUAUUUCUCGAUUUAGUCUCAGAUCGCUUCUACUGCACUUCCACAAAAGUUGGGUGUGCAGUGUUAGUUCUGUGGCAUCAUCAAGAAGUUUCUGCCAGGCUUUCUUUUCAAUCAUGGCUGGUGAAUCCAAGGCAAACCUUUCCAAUGGCAAUGCCAAUAUACAGCCUGCUCCACAAAGAACUUAUCAAGUUGUUGUGGCUGCAACUAGGGAUAUGGGUAUCGGAAAGGAUGGCAAGCUACCAUGGAGGUUACCUUCUGAUCUCAAGUUCUUCAAGGAUGUUACUCUGACUACUUCUGAUUCUGGGAAAAAGAAUGCUGUUAUAAUGGGUAGAAAAACAUGGGAAAGUAUUCCACUUGAGCAUCGACCUUUGCCUGGUCGACUUAAUGUUGUUCUGACUCGUUCUGGGAGUUUUGAUAUUGCUACUGCUGAGAAUGUUGUGAUGUGUGGAAGCCUGAGUUCUGCUUUGGAAUUAUUGGCUGCAUCUCCUUAUUGUCUGUCAAUUGAGAAAGUCUUUGUAAUAGGAGGUGGCCAAAUAUUAAGGGAAGCUCUCAAUGCACCUGGAUGUGAUGCUAUCCACAUUACAGAAAUUGAGACAAACAUUGAUUGCGAUACUUUUAUCCCAACAAUUGAUUCUACUGUCUUUCAACCUUGGUACUCAUCCUUUCCCAUGGUGGAAAACAGCAUACGAUAUUCCUUUGCAACAUAUGUUCGAGUGAGGAGUUCUGCAAUUGAAUCCCAUGGCCAAAAUAAUGGUCUGAGCCCUGAUAGUGGUUCAGAAAACAGUAAGCUUGAGGUAAAGAAGUUCUCUUUCCUUCCUAAGAUGGUUUUUGAGAGACAUGAGGAGUUCUUUUAUCUUAGACUUGUUCAAGACAUCAUCUCAGAUGGGAUUUUGAAGGAUGACAGAACUGGAACUGGUACUUUAUCAAAAUUUGGUUGCCAGAUGCGGUUCAAUCUUCGCAAAACUUUUCCACUUCUUACAACGAAGAAAGUAUUCUGGCGAGGGGUUGUCGAAGAACUCCUGUGGUUCAUUAGCGGUUCAACGAAUGCCAAGGUCCUUCAGGAAAAGGGCAUUCAUAUAUGGGAUGGCAAUGCAUCCAGAGAUUACCUUGAUAAUAUUGGGUUGAAGGACAGAGAGGAGGGUGACUUGGGACCUGUUUAUGGAUUCCAGUGGAGACACUUCGGAGCUAGGUAUACUAACAUGCAUGCUGACUACACUGGCCAAGGAUUUGAUCAGUUGUUAGAUGUUAUCGACAAGAUCAAGAAUAAUCCAGAUGAUCGUCGGAUUAUACUUUCAGCUUGGAAUCCUUCUGAUCUCAAAUUGAUGGCACUUCCCCCUUGCCACAUGUUUGCUCAAUUCUAUGUAGCCAAUGGGGAAUUGUCCUGUCAAAUGUAUCAGCGAUCUGCUGACAUGGGCCUGGGUGUGCCAUUCAACAUUGCAUCUUAUGCCCUCCUUACAUGCAUGAUUGCUCACGUUUGUAGUAUGUAUUCUCUGAGAAAUCUUAAAACCAUUAACUAAUAUGCUACUUGUUGAGUUUUAAGAAUUGUUAAUGUUUAGUUAUGAACAUUUAGGCAUAUGAUCUGAUAAUUAACGAGUCAAAAGAGUCUUUUGGUGCCAUAUGAUUUCUGAAGGUAGUAAUAUACUGGUGCCUACUGCCUACUGAAGUUGAUGAAACUAUGCAGAUAAGAUUUUGUAGUUCUUUGACUGGUAGACUGAUUAAUAUUAGAUGGUCUACUCUAGUCUGGUAAAAUGACAAAACUAGUGGGUGAAAAGAGUACUAUGAUGCUGCAUCUGGUGGUAAAUUAUGUUUAGCUUGUGGUGCAGAUGCCUAUACAAGUUUUUGGACUCUAACACAUUCCAUUUAGUGGUAAUUGUUCUUGCAGAGGGUCUGUUGGGGUUUAGGAACCCAAACAGCUCUGUUGCGAGACAAUUAUUAAGAAAAGGAAGGAAAAUGGAAGAAGAGAGGAAAUAAGAUUCAGAUAGAAGAGAGUAGAGUAGAACUAUUAUGUUUCUUGAUAUUUCAGGAAUGCCUCAUUACAGUUUCCUUUGCUGUAUUUAUACAGCUUGUUCAGCUAAAUUCCAGCUGGUACACUUGAACUUUUCCUGCCAAUACUGACUGCCAUUAACAAUCUCUACCACAGUCUUUUCCUAUUCCUUGAUAUCUCUAGUAUAACUGUGCACCGUUAAAAUUCUGGCUACUACCUGGCUUCCUUCUAUGCCUUCUUUUGUAUAACAGGCCAACAGGGUCCUAAUAUUGCUAUAAGGGGGCAUCAUAACGAAUAAAUUGGUUAAGAACUAGAUAUUUAUAACCAUGAUGUUGGGCCUUAGGGGACUAGCACUGAUUGAAAGAAAGAUUGUUUAGUGGUCUGCAAUUGCCUUUUUAUCAUGAUUAUAUAUGUUUAAAAAUUUGUAUUCAAUUAUCUUUUGUUUUGAAUAGAUCUUGCUCCGGGUGAUUUUGUCCAUGUGUUUGGGGAUGCUCAUGUUUAUAGCACUCAUGUUAGGCCUCUCCAGGAACAGCUUCAAAAACUGCCAAAACCGUUUCCGGUUAGUACAAUGGAAGCAAUUUAGGUUGAUUAAAUUUUACAGUUACCAUUUUGGAAGUAUUGUUGUAUUGUUCUCUGCAUUUUCCUAUAUUCUUUCAUUGUCUUACUAGUGUUUUCAUGCAGAUUUUGAAGAUUAAUCCUGAGAAGAAGAACAUAGAUUCUUUUAUGGCAGCUGAUUUCAAAUUGAUAGGUUAUGAUCCUCACCACAAAAUUGAAAUGAAAAUGGCAGUAUAAAGUUCCUUCAAAGAUUCAGUGAACUCACGCUCUGGUUUGUCCUAGGCAUUAUUUGCUUGUGGUUUUGAGGCAGGUAUGUGUUUCUGCACUAAUUCCUCCUUUUACAAAUGAUGAUUUGUUCAAUAUGCUCUUUUUCAUCGUCUUUCUCCAUUAUGUCACGUGCUAGAUUAUUCAGUGUACAAAGAUUUGUGAUUUGAAAUAUAUAGUGCCCUGCUCUCUAGGGUUUUGAUUAAUGUUUGUGUAAAGUAAUGACAUGCAUUAUUGGGGAAUUUUAUGAGCUGAAACUUUGGUUUUUCUGUAAUGUUUCAGGCACAACUAUUGAAGGCUUACCUUGCUUGAGUGAUAGUAAACUAAAAAUUUGCUUGUUGAAUGUAUUCUUAUUUAGUGAGAAUCCUUUAGUUCCAAAGAGUUGAUGGUUCUAAGGUGAUUUAGGAUGUCUACAUUUUCUUGCUCUACGAGCUUAAGUUUUCCUUUAUUACUUGGGAAAUAUCACUUUAUUACCACAAUUGCUAUAGUAUUGUUUUUGGAAUGGAUUGGAAUUUGGACCGGUGAACUUUCAUAUAUGACAGUAUUCUGUUUUAUUUCAUGAUCAACUUGCGCAG
rnacentral:misc_RNA from 1 species